UACGAAGGGGGCUAGCGUUGCUCGGAAUUACUGGGCGUAAAGCGCACGUAGGCGGCUUUCUAAGUCGGGGGUGAAAUCCUGGAGCUCAACUCCAGAACUGCCUUCGAUACUGGAGAGCUCGAGUCCGGGAGAGGUGAGUGGAACUGCGAGUGUAGAGGUGAAAUUCGUAGAUAUCCGCAAGAACACCAGUGGCGAAGGCGGCUCACUGGCCCGGUACUGACGCUGAGGUGCGAAAGCGUGGGGAGCAAACAGG
rnacentral:rRNA from 1 species